GGGCGGUUAGCUCAGUGGGAGAGCACUACCUUGACACGGUAGGGGUCAGAAGUUCAACUCUUCUACCGCCCACCA
rnacentral:tRNA from 2 species